rnacentral:rRNA from 1 species
GAUGAACGCUGGCGGCGUGCCUAAUACAUGCAAGUCGAGCGAACGGACGAGAAGCUUGCUUCUCUGAUAUUAGCGGCGGACGGGUGAGUAACACGUGGAUAACCUACCUAUAAGACUGGGAUAACUUCGGGAAACCGGAGCUAAUACCGGAUAAUAUUUUGAACCGCAUGGUUCAAAAGUGAAAGACGGUCUUGCUGUCACUUAUAGAUGGAUCCGCGCUGCAUUAGCUAUUUGGUAAGGUAACGGCUUACCAAGGCAACGAUGCAUAGCCGACCUGAGAGGGUGAUCGGCCACACUGGAACUGAGACACGGUCCAGACUCCUACGGGAGGCAGCAGUAGGGAAUCUUCCGCAAUGGGCGAAAGCCUGACGGAGCAACGCCGCGUGAGUGAUGAAGGUCUUCGGAUCGUAAAACUCUGUUAUUAGGGAAGAACAUAUGUGUAAGUAACUGUGCACAUCUUGACGGUACCUAAUCAGAAAGCCACGGCUAACUACGUG